UACAGAGGUCUCAAGCGUUGUUCGGAUUCAUUGGGCGUAAAGGGUGCGUAGGCGGCGCGGUAAGUCACCUGUGAAACCUCUAGGCUUAACCUAGAGCCUGCAGGCGAAACUGCCGUGCUUGAGGGUGGGAGAGGUGCGUGGAAUUCCCGGUGUAGCGGUGAAAUGCGUAGAUAUCGUAAGGAAGACCAGUGGCGAAGGCGGGUCUCUGGACAGUUCCUGACGCUGAGGCACGAAGGCCAGGGGAGCAAACGGG
rnacentral:rRNA from 1 species